GUAUAGAGGGUGAAUUCUGCCCAAUGGUUGUAUAGUGAAACUGAGGACUAACAUCUAAAGCGAAACCCAACUGAAUGGCCGCGGUAACUCUGACCGUGAUAAUGUAGCACAAUAAAUAGCCAAUUAAUUGUUGGCGGGUAUGAAUGGAACCACGAGGGUCUUACUGUCUCAAGAGGAAAGCCGAUGAAAUUAUAGUUGUAGUGAAGAUACUACAUAAACAUUGUAAGACGAAAAGACCCUAUCGAGCUUUACUGGAUACCGAUAACGUUAACUUAAAAUGAUCGAUACUAAGUAUCCUAAUUUUGAGUUAAUAAUUUUUGUUGGUGGGACAGUUUAGUUGGGGCGACUACCUUUGAAUAAGAAACGAAGGCGAGCUUAUGGUAUACAAAGCUAAUCACAUUAGCCUGACAGUGAGGGGGACACCCCUAGCUGGCACAAGGACGACGUCCUAUGUGGGCGAUAAUGACCCGAUAUGAUUGUCCAAAAUAAAUAUCGAAAGCGAAUAAAAGCUACCGUAGGGAUAACAGCGUAAUAUUGUCGGAGAGUUCUUAUCGAGGACAGUGUUUGCGACCUCGAUGUUGAAUUGCGGUGCCCUGGUGCUGUAGAAGGUACCUUAGGUUGGUC
rnacentral:rRNA from 1 species